GCUUUACGUCACGCGCGGCUCGUCGCCGCUGCGCUGCGACGCUGGGACCGCCGGGUAUUGAUCGAGGCUCGUCGAGACUCGAGAGUCGUGCGCGCGGCUGACCGACGCGAGGGAUUACUACUUGUUGUAGUCGCUGGAGAGAGGGCGCGAGAGGCUCGAUAUGCGGUGGCCGGAAAAGUUGACGCACGUGCCGAUGCUGCUGCUCUUAAUAAGUACUAUCAUUACUGAUUUUCAGCGAGAAUCCACUUGCGUUUGGGAGAAUGAUCAAAUCAAUUUUUUCAUGGCUUAGUAUUUAUUAGUUUAUGAAUUAUAAUAAACAAUAUUAAUGCAUGUAUAAUGGUACAAAGUGCAAGUGUAAGAUAAAUCUCGAGAGAAAAUUCAUGGCGAAUUUGUCUUUCACAGUUCUCUGAUGAUACCAGAGUGCGCAAAUUAUUGUGUAGCACAUACCUAUACAUGCGGUGUCCCAAACUAAUGACCUCGUUUCACAGCUCUCAGCAUAUCAAGGAACGCAGAAUGAGUCGCUUGGGACAACCUCUGUAUACCUAUGUAUACAUAUUAUGUUUGAUCGUCCGCUGGUACAAAUAAAACUAUGACAUAAAGGCUGCAGUGUUCAUAUGAAUUUAAAGCACUUUUGCUUGUCAUGCGGUAUUCUGGUUUUGAAGAGUAUUGAAUCAGCGCGAUACUGCGUGUUCAACAGAGGCAUAUAACCAAAUACUUGUGAGAAGAAGUUUAUGCAUCUGUGUCUUUCUUGGAAAUGCGUAUCGUCUUCCGAUAAUGAGACGGGACAUCCGGGACACCUGAACGUCCAUCUGGAAGUUACCUGAACAGAUCAAAUCAUGUUGUGAAUGAUUAAUUGGAUGGCUAUAAUAAAAAAUUCAUUAAAAUGAGCAUCACGAGUAAAUAUGUACCUUCACGGGUGGUUUUCUCGUAAUGUGAGCAACUAAGAAAUUCAUUGCUAUGUCCUCGCAGUUCAUGUACUCGUCCACUUUGUCCCUAAUUGCUUGUGGUAGAAAAUGCGUAUACAAAUAUGUAUAAUGCUUGUGAAUAAAAGCGGCUCCUGUCAAUACCAUCGACAAUUCACACGAAUAAUUGGAAUUAUAAUUCCAGGUAUUGUGGUUAUUUUGAUCCCAAGCGUGAAAACGACCUGGAAAACCUACGACUCUAUCUCUGUGCUCCCUCCAUACUCUACAAUGAUUAGAAAUAAAUUAUUGUUAUGCUGUUCGAACUCA